rnacentral:rRNA from 1 species
CCUACGGGUGGCAGCAGUGAGGAAUAUUGGUCAAUGGGCGCGAGCCUGAACCAGCCAAGUAGCGUGAAGGAUGACUGCCCUACGGGUUGUAAACUUCUUUUAUAAAGGAAUAAAGUGAGGCACGUGUGCCUUUUUGUAUGUACUUUAUGAAUAAGGAUCGGCUAACUCCGUGCCAGCAGCCGCGGUAAUACGGAGGAUCCGAGCGUUAUCCGGAUUUAUUGGGUUUAAAGGGAGCGUAGAUGGGUUGUUAAGUUAGUUGUGAAAGUUUGCGGCUCAACCGUAAAAUUGCAAUUGAUACUGGCAGUGUUGAGUGCAGUUGAGGUAGGCGGAAGUGGUGGUGUAGCGGUGAAAUGCUUAGAUAUCACGAAGAAUUCCGAUUGCGAAGGAGGAUUACUAAGCUGACCCUGACAUUGAUGAUCAAAAGUGUGGGUAUGAAAAAGGAU